UGUAGCAACCUAUGCUCUGCAGAAAUGUGCAGCUGAUUUUGAAGAUUAAUUCGGUCAAGAAGCCGCUACAACGGUAAAAAAGAAUUUUUACAUGGAUGACUGCCUUAAGUCAACAGCUGAUGAAGACACAGCCGUCAGUCUGUGCACCAACUUAAGAAGCAUGUUGGCAAAAGGUGGUUUUCGGCUAACCAAAUGGUGAAGUAAUAGCAGGGAGUUGCUCAACUCAAUUCCUGAGGAAGAGAGAGCACAAGGAUUCCAGGACCUUGAUUUGAAUAUGAACAGUUUACCAGUCGAGCGAGCAUUGGGAACCCAGUGGUGUGCUGAGACGAAUCAGUUUAAGUUCAAGAUCAAUCUCAAAGAUAGCCCACACACCAGGAGAGGCCUGCUUUCCUUUGUCAGUUCCAUCUUUGACCCUCUGGGGUUUAUAGCUCCAGUGGUCCUACUCGCCAAAAGAAUUCUGCAAGAUUUAUGCCGGCAGAAAUACAGCUGGGAUGAAAGCUUACCAGAAAAUGUAAUUAAAAAUUGGACAAAGUGGACUUCAGUCUUGCAACAGUCAAAUGAGUUUGGCGUUGACAGAUGUAUCAAGACAGAGGAGUUUGGUGCACCAGUCUUCGCUCAGCUACACCAUUUCGCUGAUGCGAGUGAAGGCGCCUAUGGAACGACAAGCUACCUUGUGCUACGCUCUUCUGCAGGUGAAACUCAAUCUACUCUCAUGAUAGCAAAGGCACGGGUAGCGCCCUUGAAAUCUCCAACUAUACCUAGAAUGGAAUUAACUGCAGCCUCAGUUGCAGUCAAGAUGGACAAGCUGUUGAAGAAGGAGCUUAAAUUGAAACUUCACGAAUCAAUAUAUUGGACAGAUAGCACAGUCGUGCUGAAAUACUUGAAUAGUGAAAGUACCAGAUUCAAGACUUUUGUUGCUAAUAGAGUGUUAGCCAUUCUGGAGCACUCUCAAGCUUCACGAUGGAGGUAUGUCAAUACUAGCCUGAAUCCAGCGGAUCACGUCUCCCGAGGUCAGUCUGUAGAAGCGUUCUUGAAAUGUGAAAGCUGGCUUUCAGGACCUGUUUCCUGCUCUGCGGUGAAGACCAGUGGCCAAAGAAUCCAGAUCCUGGAAUGAUAAAUGUGGAUGACCCAGAGGUCAAAAGAGUUCAAUCACAUGUCAUUCAGAUGCAAGAGCGCCAGGAUCCGUUGGGCCAGCUGAUGAUGUAUUACUCAUCCUAGACAAAGCUAAAGCGUGCAGUAGCCUGGUUUGUGAAAUUGAAAGAUCUGCUGAAAGAAUUGAAAGCAAAGAAAAAGACAGAACCAAGCUCAUCAUGUAGUGAAAAAAUGAAUCCGUUCAAGAAAGAUUAUAAAGGAACACGACUUACCUGUGAGGAUUUGACCAUUGCAGAGACAGAAAUAGUGAAAUACACCGAAAAGCAAGGCUUCAAAGAAGAUCUGGGAAUGCUAAAAGAACAACAAAGGGUAAAGAGAAGUAGUUCGCUGAAUCCAGUACUACAAGACGGGCUUAUGAGAGUGGGCGGUAGAUUGAGCUGUGUAGCAAUGCCAGAUGACUCAAAGCAGCAAGCCAUCUUGCCAAAGGACUCGCACAUUACAAGGCUUGUUCUUAGAUACAUUCAUGAUGUUACAGCACAUGCAGGAAGGAAUCACAUGCUGGCUCAAUUGCGGCAGAGAUUCUGGAUCCCUGGAGUAAAUGGAGCCAUUAGGAGAAUCUUGUCUAAGUGCAUCACCUGUAAGGAGCUACACGGCACAGCUGGCAUGCAACUCAUGGCAGAUCUACCAAAAUGCCGGGUCCUGCCUGACGAUCCUCCAUUUACGAGAGUUGGUAUUGACUACUUUGGCCCAUUCCUGGUAAAAAAGGGAAGGGGACAUGUAAAAAGGUACGGUGUCAUCUUUACUUGUCUUGUCAUUCGAGCAGUGCAUUUGGAAGUUGCGUCCUCUCUUGACACUGAUGCAUGCCUGAAUGCAAUUAGAAGAUUCCUAGCCAGAAGAGGACAGGUCAGAGAGAUGUAUUCAGAUAAUGGGACAAACUUCAGAGCAGCUGACAAUGAGAUGAAGAAAAUGAUAAGUGAGUGGAACACCAGUAUGAUUGAAAAACACUUGCAACAAAGGGGUGUACAGUGGCGCUUCAAUCCUCCAACAGGUUCUCACCACGGAGGAACCUGGGAGCGGCUUAUCCGCUCUGUAAGAAAAACUCUGAAUGUCACAGUAAAGGAACAGCUGAUGGAUGAAGGGAGUCUUCACACCCUUUUAUGUGAACCUGAGGCCAUCAUAAACACUAGGCCCAUAACAAAGGCAUCUUCUGACAUGAAUGACUUAGAGGCCUUAACCCCUAAUCACCUUUUGUUACUGAAAGUCAAACCUGAGUUGCCCCCAGGAGUGUUUAACAAAGAUGAUCAGUAUGCAAACCGAAGAUGGAAGCAAGUCCAGUAUCUCAUGGACAUAUUCUGGAAGCGCUGGUGCAGAGAGUACCUCACACAGCUCCAAGAACGGCAACGAUGGUCAACUCCUCAAAGGAACUUCUGUGUCGGUGAUGUGGUGCUGAUCGUGGACAACACGUCACCCAGAAACUCCAGGCAGCUUGGAAAGAUCAUAGAGAAUUUUUCCUGACAGGAGAGGAUUCGUUCGGCAGGCGAAGGUCAAGACCCGAGCCACUGAACUUUUACGCCCAAUAACAAAGCUGUGCCUGCUGCAAGAGGCAGAAGAGGAUUAAUUGACUGUUCUGUGAAUGUAGUUAUGGACUGAAAGUGUUGUGCAGUUUUGAGUUAGCUUAACUAAAAGCAAGAUAUGUGAAUUAGUGUAUCAUUAGGCUCCUUCAGUUUAAGUUUUGAAUAAUUGUCUCAAUGGCAUUGGUAACAAUUAGGGGCCGGAAAUGUAGGAGCCUAAAUGCAGCCUAAAUGCAGUUUAUUUAAAAUGUUAAAAUGAUUUUACUUUACAAUAAGAUAAAUAUGAUUUAUAAUUUCUUUUUUAAAUUUUUUUCCAGAUUUUUCCCUUUUUGGUAGCCAAUUGUACCUCGUCUGAUUCAAUUGGAGGUAGUCGUAUUAGAUGUACCCCCGUACCCCGUCCCUCAGCAGCCCGAAUGAGAGCAACACACCUUCUUCAAGCCGUCUCGUCUCAUGCCCGUUGCUGUGAUUCCGAGGCGCCCAAGCUUGCAGGAAAUUCCAGAAGAUCGCCAGAAAAAGAUCUACGCACUGCUCAUCGCAAUAGCUGACAAGUCAAGAAAAAAUCAAAGGACUCUGGGCUUGCGCAGUCCAAUCCAGGAGUUUCGUGACACUCAAAUUCCCUUUACUUACAUAGGGUUUGGUGGCCAGUACCUCACACACUCAUUUGGUAACACCUGUGUUCUUGACUCGCUGCUCGCAGGUUUAAACAUUGCUGCUAGUGUGCACCCCAACAUUAGGGAGCUUUUUAUGGAAGACAACACUAUCGAUGCAGUCAUGACCCUCCUGGAUAGUGGGAAGUAUGCAGAGGCAAAAGCCCUAUGGCUCAUUAACUUAGAUUUUCGGCUGGGCCGCAAAAAAUACUUCACAGAGAGAGACUACAUUGACAUCAGGGGCUACGUCAAAGACCACCUUCCAAACCUUUUGGAUCUGACCAGCGCCAAGUUUCACUACGACGACGAGAGGAGGAGUCCCAAUCCUGAAGAUGUUGUUUACAUGAAGACAGUGAGCAAGUUUGAGGAUUUUGGUGACGUGAGAGUGCUGGGAUCCAGAGGAAAUCCAGAACUCAUUCUUGUGGACGUUGACAGCCGAAUGGAUAAAUUCCCGCCUGUCAUGAUCACUGAUGACUAUGAAAGGGACUUCAGGCUGCAGUUUCUUCUCCUGGGCAUAAUAACUGCAAACUCCAACCACAUGGUGCUGUGCACUAGCCUGGAUGUUGGAUGGUGGCUCUACGAUGCCAUGGAGCCUUCACUGUUCAGGAACGUCAACUUGGAAGAUAUACAGACCCAGGGUUACGUGGUUAACCUGGCAGCCUAUGUCAAAGUGCCAGCAAAUAAUGAGAAGCAAGACUGAAGACACUCUGCACUCCUCAGAGAGAGCACAACUUCCUGCUCUCUCCUUGUAUGUAUGUGUCUGUUCUAGG